AUACGUAGGGGGCGAGCGUUGUCCGGAAUGAUUGGGCGUAAAGGGCGCGUAGGCGGCCUGUUAAGUCUGGAGUGAAAGUCUUGUUUUCAAGAUGGGAAUUGCUUUGGAUACUGAUGGGCUUGAGUGCAGGAGAGGUUAUCGGAAUUCCCGGUGUAGCGGUGAAAUGCGUAGAGAUCGGGAGGAACACCAGUGGCGAAGGCGGGUAACUGGACUGCAACUGACGCUGAGGCGCGAAAGUGUGGGGAGCAAACAGGAUUAGAUACCCUGGUAGUCCACACUGUAAACGAUGAAUGCUAGGUGUAGGGGGUAUCGACCCCUUCUGUGCCGCAGUCAACACAAUAAGCAUUCCGCCUGGGGAGUACGGCCGCAAGGUUGAAACUCAAAGGAAUUGACGGGG
rnacentral:rRNA from 1 species